rnacentral:rRNA from 1 species
UACGUAGGGUGCAAGCGUUGUCCGGAAUUAUUGGGCGUAAAGAGCUUGUAGGCGGCUUGUCGCGUCUGCUGUGAAAUUUCGGGGCUCAACCCCGAACUUGCAGUGGGUACGGGCAGACUAGAGUGUGGUAGGGGAGACUGGAAUUCCUGGUGUAGCGGUGAAAUGCGCAGAUAUCAGGAGGAACACCGAUGGCGAAGGCGGGUCGCUGGGCCGUAACUGACGCUGAGAAGCGAAAGCAUGGGGAGCGAACAGG